rnacentral:lncRNA from 1 species
UCGAUCCUCGAUCGUCUGCAGUAGAAAUUCAUCAGAUGUAGCCUAGUUGUUAGAAAUUCCAGACGUGUUCAGCGGGUAGCUAAUAAAUGUUCAGUGCGUUCCGUUUUAAACAUUCUUUUGGCUACUCGUUAAUACGCUGAAAUUUUUCAUUUUUUCAAACCAACCUGAGGGACACUUUUUCACGACACACACGAUUGUUUGAAAGUUGAUUUUUCACUAGACUUCAUUUGAAUGUGCAGUUCCUAUCCUCAACCCUACAGUGUGCACAAAUAGGCAAUGGAAAAAAUCUGCUCAUUGUGCUGAUCUGUGGAAUUUUUAGCUGUGGACUUUCUUUAGAUGACUCUUGUAUCGUAACUAUUUUCCUCUUCUUGGAACAAGGAACAUAAGAGUUCUUGAUGCUAACUAAGUGUUAUUGGAAAGAUUGUAAAAAGAUGUUAAGCAGGAAAUGCCUAAAGUCCUACGAGCUACGAAAGUUUUACCUACAAAUGUUUAGCGUUUCGUGCUGCAACUAGUAGUUGAUAUUCAAGGAUGUUAUGCCUAAAAUUGGAAUUCAGCUAUCCGAGAUUAGCAACAUUCAAACGGAAACUCUAGAUGGCGUUGAUGUGCGUCUAUGAUGAAGAUUAUGAGUGACAAGUUAAAUGGGUGUUUGUUACGUUACCCUGUUAUGUGUUUCAAAGGAUUUUUGCGUCAAAAAAUAUACGAUUGCUUUUUGUAAGUGGUGGUGUUGCGCGUUGUCAACUAUGCCAGCUGCUGGACCAGUAGCCUGCUGUCCUGCUAUCAAUGUACCACAAGAGAUCCUGACACUUUAAGAAGGCAACUAUUGCUUACAUGAAGAUCACCAUCCAGUUCAAUCAACGACAGAGUCUUCAUCUACUUUGUGUUGCUAACCAUCAGCCCUCAGCAUCCCAGGUAUCCAGAUUUCCAAGUUUCUCUGAUUAGUUAACCAUCAUCCAUACCCUUCAGCUCUUCAUUGUGGCUUCUCUUCCUCUCAUCUUAGUCUGCUGAAUGCCAACAUUGAAUAAUGUUCAUCAUCAUUGCCUUUCCAUGAAAAUCUUCAUUGUUAAUCCUGCUGUUCUUCUCACCGUUACUUAGCCAGCUCACAUGGAUAGGCUUUAACAACAUCUCCAUUUUUUGGACUGCAAAUAUUCAUUUUCCUUCGGUACAACACUGCCUUUUUGACAAUUUUGGUAGUUUCGCCCCCAGUGGACCAAACGCAACUACAUUUUCUUCGUCUUCCUGUCGUUGUUGUCUACGACUUACCCUCAUCGCUGUCUUCGUUGACGUCUUCGCCUUCAUCUCCGUCUCAUCGUCUUGGUCGUCUUCGCCUUCAUCUCCGUCUCGUCGUCUUCGCCGUCUUUGUCUCGUCGUCUUCGCCGUCUUUGUCUCGUCGUCUUCGCCGUCUUUGUCUGCGCCAUCACCUUGUCACCGGCUUCUCCUUCGCCCUUCACGAGGGAAUUCACCGUGGAUCGUCGCUCUGGUAUUGUUUUAUUUUGCAUUGUAAUUGUUAAGUUAACCCGUUGGCUGCCACCCCGUUUGCGUCCCAUUUUUGUUGUAGCUUGUAGGGACCGGCCGCAAUGGCCUUCGCCGCAAGGCGCCUUAGG